GACGAACGCUGGCGGCGUGCCUAACACAUGCAAGUCGAGCGGAGUCGAUCGACGGAAGCCUUCGGGCGGAAGAUGGUUGACUUAGCAGCGGAUGGGUGAGUAACGCGUGGGCAACCUGCCUCGAAGACCGGGAUAACAGCCCGAAAGGGCUGCUAAUACCGGAUGUGGUCAAAGAUCCGCAUGGAUUUUUGAUUAAAGGGGAAACCCGUUUCGAGAUGGGCCCGCGUCCUAUCAGCUAGUUGGUGAGGUAAAAGCUCACCAAGGCGACGACGGGUAGCCGGCCUGAGAGGGUGACCGGCCACACUGGAACUGAGACACGGUCCAGACUCCUACGGGGGGCAGCAGUGGGGAAUCUUCCACAAUGGGCGAAAAGCCUGAUGGAGCGACGCCGCGUGAGCGAAGAAGGCCUUCGGGUUGUAAAGACUCUGUCUGGAGGGACGGAAGGAAGUGACGGUACCUCCGGAGGAAGCCACGGCUAACUACGUG
rnacentral:rRNA from 1 species